rnacentral:rRNA from 1 species
UACAGAGGGGGCAAGCGUUGUUCGGAAUUACUGGGCGUAAAGGGCGCGUAGGCGGCCUUCUAAGUCGAACGUGAAAUCCCCGGGCUCAACCCGGGAACUGCGUCCGAUACUGGAAGGCUUGAAUCCGGGAGAGGGAUGUGGAAUUCCAGGUGUAGCGGUGAAAUGCGUAGAUAUCAGGAGGAACACCUGUGGCGAAAGCGGCUCACUGGACCACAACUGACGCUGAGGCGCGAAAGCUAGGGGAGCAAACGGG